GCAGGGAUACCCAAGCGGCCAAAGGGGCAGGGUUUAGGACCCUGUGGCUUAGUGCCUUCGGGGGUUCGAAUCCUCCUCCCUGCA
rnacentral:tRNA from 1 species